GCUUACGGCCAUACCAGCCAAGAACGCUAGGUCUCGUCUGAUCUCGGAGGUUAAUAAGGCUUAAGCCUGGUUAGUACUUGGAUGGGAGACCUCCUGGGAAUACCAGGUGCUGUAAGCU
ensembl:rRNA 5S_rRNA 5S ribosomal RNA